rnacentral:rRNA from 1 species
AUACGGAGGAUGCAAGCGUUAUCCGGAUUUAUUGGGUUUAAAGGGUGCGUAGGCGGUUUGCUAAGCGGGAGGUGAAAUGCCGGCGCUCAACGUCGGAAGUGCCUCCCGAACUGGUGGACUGGAAUGACUCUGCCGUGGGAGGAAUGUGUAGUGUAGCGGUGAAAUGCUUAGAGAUUACACAGAACACCGAUUGCGAAGGCAUCUCACGAAGGGUUGAUUGACGCUGAGGCACGAAAGCGUGGGGAUCAAACAGGAUUAGAUACCCUGGUAGUCCACGCAGUAAACGAUGAUGGCUAACCGCUGGUUUUUUCGGAUCAGUGGCCAAGCGAAAGCGAUAAGCCAUCCACCUGGGGAGUACGACCGCAAGGUUGAAACUCAAAGGAAUUGACGGGG